rnacentral:misc_RNA from 1 species
GUAGGAAUGUAUUUAAAUAACUGUGAGAAACUCAAUGCUAGGGAAGAAAGAGGAAGAAAGAGAGAGAGGAGGGAGAUCCAUUCUCUCUCUCCUUCUCAUCUCACCAUCCAUGUUUGUCACCAUCACAGCCACCAUUCCUCUCAUUUCUCUUCUUUUUUUCCUUCCUUCCUUCUUGUUGAAAUUAAAAAAAAAAAAAUAAAGUUUAAAUAAACCCUACCCAGAAAGUCACCAAUUUUUAAAUUAUUUGCUACACCAAUUUUUAAAUUAUUUGCU